rnacentral:rRNA from 1 species
UGGGGAAUAUUGCACAAUGGGCGCAAGCCUGAUGCAGCCAUGCCGCGUGUAUGAAGAAGGCCUUCGGGUUGUAAAGUACUUUCAGCGGGGAGGAAGGGAGUAAAGUUAAUACCUUUGCUCAUUGACGUUACCCGCAGAAGAAGCACCGGCUAACUCCGUGCCAGCAGCCGCGGUAAUACGGAGGGUGCAAGCGUUAAUCGGAAUUACUGGGCGUAAAGCGCACGCAGGCGGUUUGUUAAGUCAGAUGUGAAAUCCCCGGGCUCAACCUGGGAACUGCAUCUGAUACUUGCAAGCUUGAGUCUCGUAGAGGGGGGUAGAAUUCCAGGUGUAGCGGUGAAAUGCGUAGAGCUCUGGAGGAAUACCGGUGGCGGAGGCGGCCCCCUGGACGAAGACUGACGCUCAGGUGCGAAAGCGUGGGGAGCAAACAGG